rnacentral:ncRNA from 1 species
AUCAGGUGUCGCAAGACUCAAUAGAGAAGCCGGUAGGGAACAAAAAGUUCCCAAAGUCCGGCGCGGUCCCGCCACUGUAUCAGCGAGUGCUGCUGCAACAAACGUCACUGAGGAUGGACAAGCAUCCUUGGGAAGGCGCAGCAGCAUGAUGACCUGGAGCCAGGAGAACUGCCUGAUCGA